CUGGGACCUAAGACAAGCUUUGGAACGUGCACGAGAUGCUUUGGAGCAGAAGGAGAACAGUUGGCCAGAUCUCAGCAGCUUCUCCAUGGCCUGACCUGCACCCUUCUUGCUGGAUACCUCCUGCCAUCGAGGGACACUGGCUGUAGCCUCCAAAGGUGAGAAGACCGGCCCUGACAUCCCUCCAGGUCGAGGGGACUUCUCCGCUGCUCUCUCGGCGGGACGCCAGUGGGCGUGUGAGAAGGACACGCCGGAAAGCAGAUCCCUUGGGAGCUUUGCUUUACUGGCCCAGGCCGCAUCAAGUGUGGUGAACAAAAGGCAACACUUCUGCCCAGAGCAGUGCUUAGCGCUGAGUGAGCUUGGUGGCAGCAAAUGCAGCUCAUCUGGUGAUGAACAAAGGCAGAAGGAAGCCGACUGGACGGGGAACUUUGGCGGAGGCUGGACCUGAGAUCAGGAAACCUCUCUACUUUAAUGAUACUGCAUUUACGGAUAGGGACCAUGGGAAGGCUCUGGAAUUCUGCGGAUCUUCCACAUUUUAAACGAAGCUUUACUUUCCCCUACGUACAUCUGCGCCCAUUGCUAGAGCUGGUGUUAAAGACAAAUGAACAAGCUCAUACUGCUCUGAAUAGCAACGAGGUGACUGGUUGCCAGCCUGUAAAAUCUGGUAUUGUCCCUCCUGGAGUCAGAGCUUGACCUUAAGAAAAUUCCUGCCAGUUUCUCCGAGGGAACAUGUCCCUGUGCUGUUGCAGAAGCCUGUUUGCCACAGGGAGACAGGCAGAACAACGGGCACGGGAGGAAAUCUCUGAAUCACAAAGAUGUCACCCGAGGAGCGGCGUGCCACCAGAUCCUGCACAGUGCUAUUUUCUCCCACAAUGUACCAUUUUCA